AUCUGUCAAGAAUUACUCUGUCAUCGGGCUGCUGGACAUCUACGGCUUUGAGGUCUUCCAGCACAACAGCUUUGAGCAGUUCUGCAUCAACUACUGUAACGAGAAGCUGCAGCAGCUCUUCAUCGAGCUCACCUCAAGUCGGAGCAGGAGGAGUACGAGGCUGAAGGCAUCACGUGGGAGCCGGUGCAGUACUUCAACAACAAGAUCAUCUGUGACCUGGUGGAGGAGAAGUUCAAAGGCAUCAUCUCCAUUCUGGACGAGGAGUGUCUGAGACCCGGAGACGCCAGUGACUUCACCUUCCUGGAGAAGCUGGAGGACACAGUGGGAGGACACGCCCACUUUGUCACUCACAAGCUGGCUGAUGGAAAAACCAGGAAGGUAAUGGGCCGUGAUGAAUUCAGACUGCUGCACUACGCUGGAGAGGUCAACUAUAAUGUCAACGGUGUGUGUGUGUGUGUGUGU